GGGGAGGUAGAGGCAACGGACAGAUGUGUGAUGCGCUUACUUAACCGUGGGCGAUUUCACAUAUCAACAUAAACUUUUAUUUGCCCUCUCUCCGACGCAGCUUCUUUGACCAGGCUGAGCUAUUGAUACACGCUAGACCUGCGUUUUAUAUAUAUUUUUGCUGCCAGCACCGAUGCAGCGGUGGAUCUUUUUUUUCGGGAAUGGGGAUGAUACUCAAUAAAUAGAUCCUGUUGAAUUGAGACAAGACAACGCCGAGACGCGUCCAAAAAGUGUAAUCCCUCGAGUGCAAUCGAACACAGAUGUAUAGGUGAUAUGUUCCCCGGUUGGAUACGUCGAGGGAUUUUAAUAUUCCCAAAACAAGAUGCGAAAUUGGGCAAACCAAGGAAUUGCAUCCUCACCUACAGCACAUUUUGUAAGGUGCUGAGACGAUUUCGUUCGGCCUUUAUCAUAUCUGCUGAAGACGUCAGAGGAAUAAAGUCAUUCAGAAUCACUGAAGGUGUACAGCACAAAAGGGCCGGUUUUCUCAUCACCUAAAAUGGCAACCAGGAGGGACCACGAAAAGGCAAAAAUGCCGUAUUUCUGCAAGUACUCACACUGGAGUUAAGCACCUGAGGGACAAAUUAGGUGGUUUUGUGAAUAUAUUGUCCAAUAUCUGGUGAUAUCUGGCCUACCCAUCCACAGCCUAUAUUCACUUGGCUGUAAUAAUGAUGUCAUAAAAUAAAUGAGGAGUCAGUUGACAAAAAUAUAUUCAUGUGAUUUUUGUCAACGACUUUGUGAACUAUAUUCCAAAAAUGGAUCUUUAAUUACGCAUUCUUAACUCACCUAAGACUCACUGAAUAACAGGUGCCUGCUAUCUGUCAAAGCAGGAUCAACCAACCUGUGCGCCCUUUGCUACAAUUUGCUACUUUCCAUUGUCCUACACGAGUCGUCGCUAAAGGGAUUAUAUCAUUCACUCAGAACUGAAUUUACACCCUUCUCAAAAUGGAGUUUGCCAUGAUAGGUGCAGAUAAUGGGUGCAAAACUCGACUGCCUUACGGGUAUGCUCGCGCACGGGAAAGGGAGCACGAAAGGGAGAGACAGGUACAGCAGGCAACAGCCGCUGCGGAAGGUGCAGCAAGUGGAGAGGGAGGGGAGUCCUCUGGCCAUCUCCUUAACAACCACCAGCAGCAUCAGUCUCGCACCGCCUCCUCAUCAAAUGCCAACAACAGUAGCGGCAGUACCGCCUCGCGCCCCUCCUCCUCGCAACAGCCACAGCAGCACUACCAUGAGUCCGAGCAGCAGGUUCUCAGAGAAAGGAAAAAGCAACGCGGUGUAGGACGUUGGAGAAGGAGUCGCCAGACUCUCGGUGGGGAUUUGCGCCACUCGGAGUUGGCGCUACUUGGAUCAGAGGAGGAUAUGAUAGAGGAGGACGAGGCGGAAGGCGGGGAAGAGGAGGACAGGGGAAGCAAGAGUUCCAGUUUUCUCUGUAAUAUGGAUGAUGAAGAGACUGUCUCACUCACAGACAGACGUCCCCAAUCAGGAUACGCAAAUGUUUACAGUGAGUAUGGGUGCAGCGAAAGAGUUGUUAUUAAUGUGUCCGGACUAAAGUUUGAAACUCAACUUAAGACUCUCACACAGUUUCCUGACACUCUUUUGGGAGACCCGGACAAACGAAUCAGGUACUUCGACCCUCUAAGGAAUGAAUAUUUUUUUGACAGGAACCGACCAAGCUUCGACGCUAUUCUUUAUUAUUACCAGUCAGGGGGGCGAUUGAAGAGACCCCAAAAUGUACCUUUUGACAUCUUUUCUGAGGAGGUGAAAUUCUAUGAACUCGGAGAGGAGGCAAUACUGAAGUUUCGGGAGGAUGAGGGUUUUGUCAAAGAGGAAGAGAAACCCUUACCAGAGGACGAGUUCAAACGCCAAGUUUGGCUUCUUUUUGAAUACCCAGAGAGCUCACAACCUGCGAGAGGGAUUGCAGUCGUGUCCGUUUUAGUCAUCGUUAUAUCAAUAGUCAUUUUCUGUAUGGAAACGUUGCCAGAGUUCAGGGACGAAAAAGAAUACCUUAAACCACGAGACAAUUCGACAGAACCUCAUGGACAGACUCCUUUUAACGACCCUUUUUUCAUUGUGGAGACGGUAUGCAUUAUUUGGUUUUCAUUUGAGAUUAUAGUGCGCUUCUUUGCAAGUCCAAGUAAAACGGAUUUCUUUAAAAACAUUAUGAAUACUAUAGACAUUGUAUCGAUUUUGCCUUAUUUCAUCACGCUCGGCACAGAUCUUGCUCAACAGCAAGGCAAAGGGGACCAGGCAAUGAGUUUUGCAAUAUUGAGAAUAAUCCGCCUUGUCAGAGUCUUUCGCAUCUUCAAACUCUCCAGGCACUCCAAAGGACUGCAGAUCCUCGGACAUACCCUCCGCGCCAGUAUGAGGGAACUAGCGCUUCUGAUUUUCUUCCUCGUUAUUGGUGUCAUUUUGUUCUCAAGUGCAGUGUACUUCGCUGAGGCAGACGAACCCGCGUCUCAAUUCACAAGUAUUCCCGACGCUUUUUGGUGGGCUGUCGUCACUAUGACCACGGUCGGAUAUGGAGACAUGAAACCAAUUACUGUCGGUGGCAAGAUAGUGGGCUCGCUCUGUGCCAUAGCGGGUGUGUUAACCAUAGCUCUUCCAGUGCCCGUCAUUGUAUCCAACUUCAAUUACUUCUACCACAGGGAGACUGAUAAUGAAGCAGACCCUCCACCGGUUGUUGAAGCCCCACCACCUGUCUGCCCCUAUUUCCCCAACUUUCUUAAAAAAUUCAAAGGGUCCCCCUCGGGCUCUUCGCUGGGUGAUAAAGCGGAGUACAUGGAGAUGGAAGAGGGGGUAACGGAGUCGCUGUGUGGGGUGGAUACAAGCCUGAGUAAAGGAAACGGGACAGACAUUGGCAGGAAAAACAGUACAAGUUCAAAGUCACAACAAACUGACGUGUGAUGACAAAAACAACAAACAUUAUUCUCGUGAAGAAAGAUAUGCUGUCAUAUCACACACACAUAGGUGGUCCGACUCACACAAGUGCGCACUUGCGCGCAUGCACACACACACACUUUAUAUAUAGCUAGACCUUGGGAAGCUCAAACAUGGUGUUUUAUUCUGCUUAGAGGAAUAUAGGCCUACGGAUUUAUAACUAUUAUGACCAAUGUAAUCCGAAUAUCAGAUACAGGCUACCUAUCUGGGCCAAAUGAAAUUGAAUAUAUUUAAGGGACAGGCUAAUGCAUAUGCACUUUAUCAGUUUAAUUUGCCAAUAAUGGAAGGGGAGAUGUAGUUAUUGUUUUGCUGUUAUGCGAUAAAGUCAAAGUUUAUAGUAGGCCUAGUUUGCACUAUUGUAAAAGCUUGUUUGAGACGCUGACUUUCAAGAGAGAUAGACUUGGAAGUUAUUGCUCCACACUGGCUGUCACGAGAGGUCCUGCACGGAUAACUUGCGUGACUACAACUCCGUCCCUUUAAAACCACCUCAAACUAACUGACAAUAUCCCUUUACACGGACGUUGACUGAAGCUUAUUUGGGGGAAAAAAUGACUGUCAUAAUGGAAACUUUGGGUUUGUGAACUUAAUCUCUUAUUCGUUGGACAGUGCACAUUUCUCUAAAAUGAGAAAGGAAGGUCUGUUGGUCAUCCCAGAAAGCACCAAGAUCUCCAGCAGGCGGUUGUUUUCCAAGUGCUGUCAGUUGAUGGCUUAGGAGAGGAUGUGCUGGCUGGUACUCUUGGAAUUGUCAGAGAAAGAGAAAAUAUUAUGACUGGUCAUCUGGGGUGAGACAAUGGACAUCGAUAACCACAGAUCUACUGCAAGAGUGAACCCAGCGAUCGGACAUCGGAAGUUUGAAUGGACAAAUGAGACAUUGGGACACUAUACGGAGUGCACAAGGAACGAAAAUCUUUCCUAGUAAACCUGGAGGCAGGGAAAUGAGUAAGUCAUGUCCCAAAUGAUUGCCUUAAUUAUUACAUAUAUACCUAUAUAUGAAGUGAUGAAACUAGAGACUUAUCCGAGUUCAAAUAUGUUUUUCAUUAUGUGUGAAACAGUGUCUUGUAAGGAAGAGAUGUGAAUAUUUUAAUAAGAUAGAGAAAAAUUGUUUGGUUGUAAUGUCGACAAUGUUUUAGUUGGGUCUGCUUUGUAGGUGUCAUUGAUAACCAAAUGGUGGAGCUGCUCUCUGCUUACUUGCAGCCAGCAGAAUGAGUCGAUCUAUUUUUAUCUCGUUUCGUAUUGUCAACCAAAAUAAGGCUGGCUUGAGGCGGAGCUGCUCGCUCAGCUACAAUGUCUUUCAAUUCACAACAUCAUGUUAUGACAACCAUAUUCCAAUUCAGAAAGGAGUAUGGAGUCAAAAAUUAGACAAAAUGACUCAAUAUACAUGAAACAUAUCUGAUUAUUUUUCUCCUCUAUUAUUCACAUACUGUAAGCAUCUGGUUACACACUCUCAAACACAAAAGAUGUCAGGUACGCACACACGUACGCACGCACUCGCUCACACACACACACACACACACACACACACACACACACACACACACACACACACACACACACACACACACACACACACACACAGAGAAAUCUACCGAAGUGACACAAAGGGUUUUCCCUACGAUGCAAAUUGUAUUAUGUUAGUGAUAGAAUUGAUCAGCUGCUUUGUUGACGCAAACCUCGAUCCAUUUGAAGUUAACUGUAUGCAAAGUAACAUGGAAGUGUGUUAUAUAUAUUUUUUUAAACCUAGCCUUGACUAUAUUACUUAACCAAAGUUUAAACCCUGAUUUUAUUGUACGUGGUGGACACUUCCUCUGGAUAUGUCGUGAAAAUAGAUACACAUUGAAUAGAACAUAUAUGUACAUAUGCUGAUGUUUAUAUUUACGUGUCCUACGAUGUGUCGCAAAUCAUGACAUGCGAGACAAUUCUAUUUAGUUUGACUGUUAACAACGUUCAGAUCUUCAGAAGUUAUGUUCCAUUUUUAUUUACAUGAACAUUGAACAUGUUGUGGAUGCUGCUCCAACAAGAUCCAUGAUUUUCCACUUCAAUUUGAGUUUUUUUGACAAGUGGGCUAUUUCUUCUUUUUCUGUGCUGUUCUCAUAUAACUGCUCGUAGAAAAUCCGCCCACUCUCUUUAGGCCUGCUUUCAAAGACACAGAUUUGUAUGCACUGCUUGCUUGUUGCAGCGUUGUCAGACAAAUCAAGUGUUUGCUUUUGUAAAACAUAAAUGCCAUCUCGUGUUUAUCCCCAUCCUUCUUACAUUCAGUCAACAGCCAAGAACUUAGUGAUGCUCGCUCCUGGGCGUACUGUCUAUUAUUGUGAGGUCGGCCCAUGACGGCUGUGCAUUAGAGCAUCAACUACACAGAGUUUUAUAUUUAUUUUUUAUGUUACAGAAAGGGGUGGAACCUAAUAUUUUAUACUGUAUUAUUUGCAUAGGCAAUGUACUGCAUUUCUAUAUUCUCUCCCAUAAAAAGAAAACGAACAUAUUUCAUUGUACUGUCUGAAAAGACAUAGAUCACUUGAAUCUGGAGAUGGAAAAUGCUCUGAUAUCAGUGUCUGCCCCCCCCUUUCAACCUUAUCAACCUUAUCAACCUUACCAUGCUAGCCUCUGCUAAAAUUGACUUUGUUAUCAAAUUCUUAAGCAUCAUUGGGCUAUUUACCCUUGAUCGCAGAAAGAGUAAGCGCUGUCUAUUCCCUGAUCCCAUAGUCCCAUUGUUCUACAUUUUGAAGCAAACACAAAGCGCAUGCACAUUCUGAAAAUUGACGUCUAUCAAUCAGUGUAUACGUUUAAAUCUAAAUCCCUCAGCAAUUAUUGGUAUCAUUUAGUGUGCCUGGCAAAGAGUUGCUGUGUCUUGCCAUAGUUAAGCUAAAAUACUCCCAAAUUGUAGUUGAAUAAGCCGUAACUUAAGGGAAAACAAAGAGAAAGAUGUAUCUUUCAAAAUCAAGUUUUUCUAGUAUAUUACGAUGUUGCUAUACUGUUGGAUACUGUAUACUGUUAGCAAAGCUGACCUUCUUCCUAGUUAACUACCCAAAUACGUAGUACAAGUCCGAAGUGGUGGCUUCUUUUGAAAAUAUCAGUCAGCGUUAUGUUCCGGCAUAAUGAUGAGAAUAUUUAAAAAAUCCAAAAAACAUUAUAAGUAAUUGGUAUAGCCUGAGUACCCAACAAUGAUAUUUGACCACAUUAUGGUAACAUAUUAUGGUAAUGGCCUAAUUGUGAUUGGACUGAACUGAAAAGACAAAGUCAAAGAAAAGGCUUUUUACAAUGCCGUAAUAUCAAAGAUGGGGCUUAGCCCUGUCUACAAUAUCUAUGUGUACCCUUAGUAUAGAUAUGAGGCCUGCUUCAAGGUGUGACUAGUUACAGUGAAAAGGUCCAGAAAAUGUACAACUAGCUGGUCUGUCUUUGAACACUAACCUGGGCCCGUACUCACAUAAAGUGUCUCAGAGUGCUGAUCUAGGAUCAGUUCCCCUGUCCAGGUUAUCUUAUUCAUGGUAAUAUAAAAGGCAAAACUGAUCCUUUAUCAGCACUCCUUCUCUGACGCGCUUGAUACAUACAGCCCCAAGUAUGACAAAUGCAUACAAAUCAAAUCAAGUUCCUCACUUCAAAAUCAUUACAAAGACAUGUUUUAACCAUUGCAUACAUUUGAAAGUAGUGCCUUCUUAGGUAUAGACGUGGGAGCUGCUAAGGGUCCAUAGUAUAUAUAAAUAUAUUUUUUCUGCACAAGCUUCAUAGUCAACAGGUGUAGACUAACAGUGAAACGCUUACACGCGGGUUCAUUUCCAACAACGCCGAGUUAAAGAUUUUUAAAAAAAUGUAAUACGACAUUUAAAUAGUGACACGAGGAAUUAAUAAACAGUGAAUAACAAAUAAAAAUAAAGAGUAAAAGUAACAUGGCUAAAUACAGGGAGUACCAGUACCGAGUCGAUGUGCAGAGGUACGAUGUAAUUGAGGUAGUGUGUUGUACAUAUAGGUAGGGGCAAAUUGACUAGGCAGCCGGAUAGAUAACCCACAGUAGCGGCAUGCGUAUGUGGUGAGUGUGAAAGUGUGUGUGUUGCGUCAGUAUGCAUGUGUGUGCAUGUUAUGUGUGUUUGGGCGUAUUUAGGAUGUGUGUGUGUGUGUUUGUUACUGUAAUAUGUUUCAGCCAUGGAAUCAUUGUACCAUCACUAAGUACGUUUACCGUGAACAUCCACAUGGAAAUGGCAUGGGUUAUUCUUCUGUUAAAAUGGAACUCAAUGUUAAUGCAGUAUGUGUGUGUAUUUGAACCAUUCAUUUUCAUGAACACUGGAGGGUCAUUAAAGGGAGUGAAAUCAAAAGGGAACUUGAUAUUAAAACAACUCCGUUGAAGUGUAUUUCAGGAAGUGUAUCAUAUUUUUACAGUCCACAUGUGAUAAAGUGCCCACGUUUUGGUCAGCCUUGCUUUUCUUCUGCAUGAAGCUUUGUUUUUGAAAAGUGCAUCCUAAUCUGAGAUGUUUGUAUUCUUUUCUUGCGGUUACUUCCUGUCUGUGUACUCACUUUGGAGCUCGUUCAUUUCCUACCUAUAUUUUUUAUUUUUUAAAUUUUAUUUAGGUAAAUCUUCAGACUUUUUGAUUUUCUACAUUAAUGUCAUUUUUGUAGGCAGCAAUAUGAGACGUGAUCAAACGGAGUAUGUGCAAUGUUGAAUAAAGAAAAAUAUAAUAUAUGGAAUAAAAAACGACUGCGAGAGUGACUCGAAGGUAUUGCAACAACGUGAUCUGUGAGUGGUAUUCAUAUGUCACCUCAUCAUUUACUGGUUAUGUCCUUAUGCAAGAACAUGUUUUGCGUUAUUUUCUCUCCUAUAGAUGUUGAUAUAUAGUGUUUGGCAGGAUUCCAAAUCCAAAGACGCAUAUGGCAAUUACAAUAAAUAAGGACUUGAUGAAUUUAAUUCGGAAUAAGAUG